AGUUAAAACUUUCAACAACGGAUCUCUUGGUUCUGGCAUCGAUGAAGAACGCAGCGAAAUGCGAUAAGUAAUGUGAAUUGCAGAAUUCAGUGAAUCAUCGAAUCUUUGAACGCACAUUGCGCCCCUUGGUAUUCCGGGGGGCAUGCCUGUUCGAGCGUCA
rnacentral:rRNA from 2 species